GGGGUGGUAAUGCCGGAUGCUCCAGUUGAUCGCAUGGUCUUCUGGGAAAGCUUUCGCGGUAUGGGAUGGGGUCGCGUCCUAUCAGCUUGACGGCGGGGUAACGGCCCACCGUGGCUUCGACGGGUAGCCGGCCUGAGAGGGCGACCGGCCACAUUGGGACUGAGAUACGGCCCAGACUCCUACGGGAGGCAGCAGUGGGGAAUAUUGCACAAUGGGCGCAAGCCUGAUGCAGCGACGCCGCGUGAGGGAUGGAGGCCUUCGGGUUGUAAACCUCUUUUAUCGGGGAGCAAGCGAGAGUGAGUUUACCCGUUGAAUAAGCACCGGCUAACUACGUGCCAGCAGCCGCGGUAAUACGUAGGGUGCAAGCGUUAUCCGGAAUUAUUGGGCGUAAAGGGCUCGUAGGCGGUUCGUCGCGUCCGGUGUGAAAGUCCAUCGCUUAACGGUGGAUCCGCGCCGGGUACGGGCGGGCUUGAGUGCGGUAGGGGAGACUGGAAUUCCCGGUGUAACGGUG
rnacentral:rRNA from 1 species